GCUUGCGGCGUGCUUAACACAUGCAAGUCGAACGGAAAGGCCCUGCUUUUGUGGGGUGCUCGAGUGGCGAACGGGUGAGUAACACGUGAGUAACCUGCCCUUGACUUUGGGAUAACUUCAGGAAACUGGGGCUAAUACCGGAUAGGAGCUCCUGCUGCAUGGUGGGGGUUGGAAAGUUUCGGCGGUUGGGGAUGGACUCGCGGCUUAUCAGCUUGUUGGUGGGGUAGUGGCUUACCAAGGCUUUGACGGGUAGCCGGCCUGAGAGGGUGACCGGCCACAUUGGGACUGAGAUACGGCCCAGACUCCUACGGGAGGCAGCAGUGGGGAAUAUUGCACAAUGGGCGGAAGCCUGAUGCAGCAACGCCGCGUGCGGGAUGACGGCCUUCGGGUUGUAAACCGCUUUCGCCUGUGACGAAGCGUGAGUGACGGUAAUGGGUAAAGAAGCACCGGCUAACUACGUGCCAGCAGCCGCGGUGAUACGUAGGGUGCGAGCGUUGUCCGGAUUUAUUGGGCGUAAAGGGCUCGUAGGUGGUUGAUCGCGUCGGAAGUGUAAUCUUGGGGCUUAACCCUGAGCGUGCUUUCGAUACGGGUUGACUUGAGGAAGGUAGGGGAGAAUGGAAUUCCUGGUGGAGCGGUGGAAUGCGCAGAUAUCAGGAGGAACACCAGUGGCGAAGGCGGUUCUCUGGGCCUUUCCUGACGCUGAGGAGCGAAAGCGUGGGGAGCGAACAGGCUUAGAUACCCUGGUAGUCCACGCUGUAAACGGUGGGUACUAGGUGUGGGGUCCAUUCCACGGGUUCCGUGCCGUAGCUAACGCUUUAAGUACCCCGCCUGGGGAGUACGGCCGCAAGGCUAAAACUCAAAGGAAUUGACGGGGCCCCGCACAAGCGGCGGAGCAUGCGGAUUAAUUCGAUGCAACGCGUAGAACCUUACCUGGGUUUGACAUGGAUCGGGAGUGCUCAGAGAUGGGUGUGCCUCUUUUGGGGUCGGUUCACAGGUGGUGCAUGGCUGUCGUCAGCUCGUGUCGUGAGAUGUUGGGUUAAGUCCCGCAACGAGCGCAACCCUUGUUCACUGUUGCCAGCACGUUAUGGUGGGGACUCAGUGGAGACCGCCGGGGUCAACUCGGAGGAAGGUGGGGAUGACGUCAAGUCAUCAUGCCCCUUAUGUCCAGGGCUUCACGCAUGCUACAAUGGCUGGUACAGAGAGUGGCGAGCCUGUGAGGGUGAGCGAAUCUCGGAAAGCCGGUCUCAGUUCGGAUUGGGGUCUGCAACUCAACCUCAUGAAGUCGGAGUCGCUAGUAAUCGCAGAUCAGCAACGCUGCGGUGAAUACGUUCCCGGGGCUUGUACACACCGCCCGUCAAGUCAUGAAAGUUGGUAACACCCGAAGCCGGUGGCCUAACCGUUGUGGGGGAGCCGUCGAAGGUGGGACUGGUGAUUAGG
rnacentral:rRNA from 1 species